AUACUUUUGUGGGGGUGCUGCAAGGCUGAGAAGAGAUCUUUCUCUAACCCUUUGAACCUGAUCCAGAUAAAACUGGCGUAGGGAAGCAACUUACAUAUUUUU
rnacentral:ncRNA from 2 species